rnacentral:tRNA from 1 species
UGCGACGUAGCUCAGCCCGGUAGAGCGGUGGCCUCAUAAGCCUCAUGUCGGUGGUUCAAAUCCACCCGUUGCCACCA